rnacentral:misc_RNA from 1 species
AAAAGAUUUACACCCCAUGUUAUUAUUAUUUAAUAUAAUUAAUUUAAUUGUGAAUACUAUUUAUAUUACAUGAUUUGUUAUCUAUAACACUUUCAUUCAGAAUACCUUUGGGAGUCGCGUAUUCAGAAGCAUUUCACAUCAAAAUUCAUAAUAAAGUUCAUCUUUUACCAUCUAAAGGUGUAAAGAGUUUACUCACAGAGGGGCCUCCCUGAUGAAGCGUACCACUCUAAACCGGGUGCAACCUAAUGUAGCAAAAAAUUUCUCUCUUCAUUAUUUCCCAGAUAGGAACGGCAGGAUCUUCCCCAUCAAUCACAUCGAAACAACCAAAGCAACCAAGUAUACCAAAGCAGAUGUUGAGGCAUUUCAGUACUAGAGGCCAAGAUGUUAUAUACAAAGGCGGGGAACUCUACACACCCAAUUUUAGACAAUGCCUCCAUAAUAUGUUGAGUAAUGGAAGGACAUCGGCAAAAUCUCUCCUCUUGUGCAUAAAGUAUGCGUACCCCACAAUUUACCACAUUGAUUGGUACAGGAUGGCCAUUCAUAUCUUCAGUGUAGAAUUCAACAACAACCUCACUGUAUUUACUAAACCAAUCAUCUUUCAUAAUAUUCACACAGGGAUCAUACCCAAAGAACGAAUGAUAAUUCCAGAUUGAGUUCGUUCUCAUACCAUAUGGACCACCAAAAUAGCCAUGGAGGUCAUCACAGUCACCAUACUCAUUUUUGAAAUGGUAUCUGCAUUUAACUUGGAAACCAGAGUCAUCAAUGUCGGGCUUGUUACUGAUAAUAACAGCGCAAAGAGCAAAACCCCAGAACUUGCUGUUAGCCCAGUGUGAAGGCAGCUGGAUUGUUGUUGAAAAUCCCCUGGCUUGAUGGCCGAACCACUUUGGAAUAUAACUUCCAUGGAAGCAAAUAGUAGAUUCCCCAGCUAGUACAGAAGGCAUCUGACUAUGCAGUCUUUUUGCAUAAAGCUGGAAUUUUCUUAGGGCGUAUCCCAUGAAAUUGUGCCUUGAAAUCACAUUCAAGUUCUUGCAAUUGGUGAGAAGGAAUUCAAAAAUGUUUCCUUCGACUCCAGUUGAAUCAAUUGAUAUUUCUAUCAGUGAUAAGCAAUCGUCAGCAUCUAAUUUUGUCAGCCGUGGUGGAAGUCCUUUUAUUAAUGUUAGAUUCGGGCAAUGCCUUAAACCGAGAUAUUGCAGCUCAGAAAGAUUACUGAUGCUUUUAGGUAACGUAUGAAAAUAGUUUCCACUAAGAUCUAGUGCCUCUACUGAAGAUAAGCAGCUUAUGCAAUCAGGCAAGUUCUGCAGGCCGCUUCCUCCAAGAGAUAGCUUCCGUAGGUAUUGCAAAUGUGCUCCUGAUUUGUCUACACCUAAGGCCGUAUCUGAUAAGAUGCGAAGAUGAGUACAACCCCUCAAUUCCAAGCAAGAAAGGCUCUUCAAAUUUUGAAUUGGCGUGGGCAACUUUCUUAUGGAUGUUCCAUCUAAAUAAAGAUAUCU